AUGUAGGGCAAUCUAUCUUUAAGUAGGGAGAAAUUACUCUAAAAAAAAAAAAAAGGAAUCCUCGAUAGUUUUCCCUUCAAGUGUCUUGU
rnacentral:pre_miRNA from 1 species